rnacentral:lncRNA from 1 species
AUAUAUAGGCCUAUUUAUUUUUAUCUACCUCAGGGAAAAGAAAUAGACAAAAUUUUGAUAUUUAAAUAAUAUUUUUUUGGCAGCUUAAACAACAAUUUCAACUAUUAGAAAAUAUGUCAACUGUGAAACACCAUCUUUUCUUGUCUUUUUUUUUUUUUUUUUUACAUAUCGGGCCCCUAAUUACAUUGAAAACACCUGGCCGCAGUUUUAAAUGUAGAAAACCCUGUUGAAAUAACGUAGGAGCUUAAAGAUGUCGGCAGCUGUAGAUUCUGAUAAAGGUAGUAGAUAACAAAACCUUUCUGUUUUUUGUUGUCAAUGUUUAUUUAUUUAUUUUAUUUUUAGUUUUGUCCGAGGAUGGAGACACUCAGGCACCCGAAAAGAGCGACUAUCCGUUCCAAGAGGUUCGCAAAACUUUGAAAUCUGGCUAUAAAUGCUGUUUUAAGGCCAAACUGUUUUAUUUAUAUAUAUAUAUAUAUAUAUAUAUAUAUAUAUAUAUUUAUGUGCAGACUAUAAAGAACCUUGAUGACAGGCUGGCCAUUCUUUCCGAAAACAUAAGCCUUUGCUCGUCGGCUCUGAGUGACCUGCACGACCUCUACGAUGUUUUAGCGAAAAAACGUCUUCAGCAAGGAUCCGAGGACCCCCACACUCCUAAACAUGAACUUGAAUAA